rnacentral:rRNA from 1 species
CCUACGGGAGGCAGCAGUGAGGAAUAUUGGUCAAUGGACGAGAGUCUGAACCAGCCAAGUAGCGUGAAGGAUGACUGCCCUAUGGGUUGUAAACUUCUUUUGUAAAGGAAUAAAACGAGGCACGUGUGCCUUUUUGCAUGUACUUUAUGAAUAAGGAUCGGCUAACUCCGUGCCAGCAGCCGCGGUAAUACGGAGGAUCCGAGCGUUAUCCGGAUUUAUUGGGUUUAAAGGGAGCGUAGAUGGGUUGUUAAGUCAGUUGUGAAAGUUUGCGGCUCAACCGUAAAAUUGCAAUUGAUACUGGAAGUCUUGAGUACAGUUGAGGUAGGCGGAAUUCGUGGUGUAGCGGUGAAAUGCUUAGAUAUCACGAAGAACUCCGAUUGCGAAGGCAGCUUACUAAACUGCCACUGACAUUGAUGCUCGAAAGUGUGGGUAUCAAACAGGAUUAGAUACCCCGGUAGUC